UACAGAGGUCUCAAGCGUUGUUCGGAUUCAUUGGGCGUAAAGGGUGCGCAGGCGGCCGUGUGUGUGAGGCGUGAAAGCCUGGAGCUUAACUCCAGAAUUGCACCUCAAACUACAUGGCUAGAGCAUUGGAGAGGGUAGCAGAAUUCAUGGUGUAGCAGUGAAAUGCGUAGAUAUCAUGAGGAAUACCAGAGGCGAAGCGGCUACCUGGACAAUUGCUGACGCUCAGGCACGAAAGCCGGUGGGGAGCAAAAGGG
rnacentral:rRNA from 1 species